AAUUUGGAGAGUUUGAUCCUGGCUCAGAAUGAACGCUGGCGGCGUGCCUCAUACAUGCAAGUCGUACGAGAAAUCAUUCCUUCGGGUAUGAGAGUAAAGUGGCGCACGGGUGAGUAACGCGUGGGUAACCUACCCUAAAGUCUGGGAUAACAUUCCGAAAGGGAUGCUAAUACCGGAUAAGACUACGAAAAUUUCGGUUUUUGUAGUAAAAGGUGGCCUCUGCAUGCAAGCUACCGCUUGAGGAUGGGCCCGCGUACUAUUAGCUAGUUGGUAGGGUAAUAGCCUACCAAGGCUACGAUAGUUAGCUGGUCUGAGAGGAUGAUCAGCCACACUGGAACUGGAACACGGUCCAGACUCCUACGGGAGGCAGCAGUAGGGAAUCUUGCGCAAUGGGGGAAACCCUGACGCAGCAACGCCGCGUGAGUGAUGAAGGUCUUCGGAUCGUAAAGCUUUGUCAAGCGGGAAGAAAUGUUUUAAGGUUAAUACCCUUAAAAUUUGACGGUACCGCUGAAGGAAGUACCGGCUAACUCCGUGCCAGCAGCCGCGGUGAUACGGAGGGUACAAGCGUUAUUCGGAAUUAUUGGGUGUAAAGCGCGUGUAGGCGGUUUGGUAAGUCAGGUGUGAAAGCUCCGGGCUUAACUCGGAAAGUGCAUUUGAAACUGCCAAACUUGAGUGCGGGAGAGGAAGGUGGAAUUCCCAGUGUAGAGGUGAAAUUCGUAGAUAUUGGGAGGAACACCGGUGGCGAAGGCGACCUUCUGGACCGCCACUGACGCUGAGACGCGAAAGCGUGGGGAGCAAACAGGAUUAGAUA
rnacentral:rRNA from 1 species